rnacentral:rRNA from 1 species
GGCGCACGGGUGAGUAACACGUAUCCAACCUGCCCUUUACUCGGGGAUAGCCUUUCGAAAGAAAGAUUAAUACCCGAUAGCAUAAUGAUUCCGCAUGGUUUCAUUAUUAAAGGAUUCCGGUAAAGGAUGGGGAUGCGUUCCAUUAGGUUGUUGGUGAGGUAACGGCUCACCAAGCCUUCGAUGGAUAGGGGUUCUGAGAGGAAGGUCCCCCACAUUGGAACUGAGACACGGUCCAAACUCCUACGGGAGGCAGCAGUGAGGAAUAUUGGUCAAUGGGCGUUAGCCUGAACCAGCCAAGUAGCGUGAAGGAUGAAGGCUCUAUGGGUUGUAAACUUCUUUUAUAUAAGAAUAAAGUGCAGUAUGUAUACUGUUUUGUAUGUAUUAUAUGAAUAAGGAUCGGCUAACUCCGUGCCAGCAGCCGCGGUAAUACGGAGGAUCCGAGCGUUAUCCGGAUUUAUUGGGUUUAAAGGGAGCGUAGGUGGACUGGUAAGUCAGUUGUGAAAGUUUGCGGCUCAACCGUAAAAUUGCAGUUGAUACUGUCAGUCUUGAGUACAGUAGAGGUGGGCGGAAUUCGUGGUGUAGCGGUGAAAUGCUUAGAUAUCACGAAGAACUCCGAUUGCGAAGGCAGCUCACUGGACUGCAACUGACACUGAUGCUCGAAAGUGUGGGUAUCAAACAGGAUUAGAUACCCUGGUAGUCUACACAGUAAACGAUGAAUACUCGCUGUUUGCGAUAUACAGUAAGCGGCCAAGCGAAAGCAUUAAGUAUUCCACCUGGG